rnacentral:rRNA from 1 species
GACGAACGCUGGCGGCGUGCUUAACACAUGCAAGUCGAACGGAAAGGCCCUGCUUUUGUGGGGUGCUCGAGUGGCGAACGGGUGAGUAACACGUGAGUAACCUGCCCUUGACUUUGUGAUAACUUCAGGAAACUGGGGCUAAUACCGGAUAGGAGCUCCUGCUGCAUGGUGGGGGUUGGAAAGUUUCGGCGGUUGGAGAUGGACUCGCGGCUUAUCAGCUUGUUGGUGGGGUAGUGGCUUACCAAGGCUUUGACGGGUAGCCGGCAUGAGAGGGGUACCGGGCACAAUGGGACUGAGAGACGGACCAGACGCCUACGGGAGGCAGCAGUGGGGAAUAUUGCACAAUGGGCGGAAGCCUGAUGCAGAAACGCCGGGUGCGGGAUGACGGCCUUCGGGUUGUAAACAGAUUUCGACGGUGACGAAGAGGGAGUGACGGUAAUGGGUAAAGAAGCACCGGCUAACUACGUG